rnacentral:rRNA from 1 species
AUUGAACGCUGGCGGCAGGCCUAACACAUGCAAGUCGAGCGGAGCGGCGGACGGGUGAGUAAUGCCUAGGACUCUGCUUGGUAGUGGGGGAUAACGGCAGGAAACGGGCGCUACUACAGCAUACUAUCAGAUGAGCCUAGGUCGGAUUAUCUAGUUGGUGGGGUAAAGGCCUACCAAGGCGACGAUCCGUAACUGGUCUGAGAGGAUGAUCAGUCACACGUGAACUGAGACACGGUCCAGACUCCUACGGGAGGCAGCAGUGGGGAAUAUUGGACAAUGGGCGAAAGCCUGAUCCAGCCAUGCCGCGUGUGUGAAGAAGGUCUUCGGAUUGUAAAGCACUUUAAGUUGGGAGGCGUUACCAACAGAAUAAGCACCGGCUAACUUCGUGCCAGCAGCCGCGGUAAUUC